CCCGAUAACGUCACCACUGAGUCCGUUAUAAAGGUGCGUUCGUGACGGACUUCAGACGACUUUGGACUGCCGGGGACGGAACCGGGCCACACGCAGGUGGACUCGACAUACUUCCGGUUGUGAGGUGCCCCGAGUUCGACGGCAGACGGACAGUCUGACCAGGUUCGGUUCGGUUUCACGCCGUCGACGGAUGUGGCGCUCGACAAAUAGGAAGGCAGCCAUGGCGGCGAGAUGAAACAACUUUUUCCGCCACUCUCGCUGCUGCUGAUCAGCGCUGGCGUUGCGUUCACGGACGCCAGGUCCUUGAACCCAACGCGCGGCCCGGACACCGCAGGUAGCGUGCGAUGGUGGAGCCCGCCGCUGCAGAGAACUCGACCCUUCGUGCUAGUGGGUGGGCAGAGGCGGAGCCUGAAGGAGGCGCUGCAGGACGGUCACCCGGAGCAUCUGCAGUGUGGCCUGGAGGUCCGAGGUGAGGUCCUCGUGUUGGACCUGCAGAAGAACCGCGACCUCCUGCCCAAAGCGCCAAACGUUUUCUUCUACCUCCCCAACGGCACCGGAGUGUCCCUGACGGGCGACCCCGUGACGCAUUGUUAUUACCACGGGAACGUAAGAGGAUUCCCGAGCUCUCGAGCGGCAAUCAGCACCUGCUCAGGACUCCGCGGCGUGAUCGCCGUCAACGCCUCGCUGAGUUUUGAGGUUCGGCCGCAGGAGCUCCGCCGCAAUGGCGAAGGAGGCGGGGCCAGCGCAGGUGGAGGAGAAGAUGUGGGAGACCACCUGAUCUUUUCCAGUGGUCACGUGGCGGACGAGGCGGCGAGGGGCUGCGGGGUGGCGCACGAGCGUGCCGACACGCGCCGGCACGCCGGCGCUUACGCUCAACACAGAAACAAGCGGGACCUCCUGUCCGAGACCAAAUACAUCGAGCUGGUUCUGGUGGCGGACCACCAGGAGUUCUUGAACUACCAGAAGAACAACAAGACCAUCAUCUACCGCAUGCUGGAUGUGGCCAAUCAGGUGGACUGGUUCUACCGCCCUCUGAAGGUGCGCGUGGCACUGACUGGUUUGGAGGUCUGGAGCGACCGGGACAAAAUCCGCGUGGAGAAGAACCCGAGCGCCACACUCAACAACUUCCUGCUCUGGCGGACAAGGGAGCUCCUGCCACGCCUUCGUCACGACAACGCGCAGCUCGUCAUGGGCAGCGCCUUGGAUGGCACCACAGUGGGCAUGGCGGCGCAGGCGUCCAUGUGCUCCAGAGACCGCUCGGGAGGCGUCAACGUGGACCACCUGGUCAGUGUUCUGGGCGUGGCGUCCACGGUGGCUCACGAGCUGGGACACAACCUGGGCAUGAGCCACGACUCCCGCGAGCGCCGAUGCCACUGCGCCAACCAGCCUCGCAUGGGCGGCUGCAUCAUGGAACCCUCCACCGGGUUUCUGCCGGGUCAGCAGUUCAGCAGCUGCAGCGCGUCCGACCUGUCUGUCAGUCUGCUUCGGGGCGGCGGCAUGUGUCUGUUCAACGUGCCGCCGCCCGAGCGCCUCCUGGGCGGGCCCCGCUGCGGCAACCUCUACGUGGAGCCCGGCGAGGAGUGCGACUGCGGCCUGCUCGAGGAGUGCCAGGACCCCUGCUGCGACGCGUCCGCGUGCCGACUGCACCCCGGCGCCCGGUGCUCGGCCGACGGCGUCUGCUGCCAGGACUGCGAGCUGCGGGCGGCGGGGUCCGUGUGCCGGGAGCCCAUCGGAGAGUGCGACCUACCGGAGUUCUGCACGGGCUCCUCCCCCUUCUGCCCGCCCAAUGUCUACGUACAGAACGGCGAGCCCUGUGAGGAUGGCGCCGCCUACUGCUACGGCGGCGCCUGCGCCAGCAUGCGCACGCAGUGCCAGACGCUUUGGGGACCGAACGCCACCGCUGCACCGGCCGUCUGCUUCUCGUCCGUCAACAAACAAGGAAAUAAAUACGGAAACUGCGGGCAGCUUAGCAACGGGUCGUAUGCCACCUGCGCACACAAUGACGUGCAGUGCGGCAGGAUCCAGUGUCAGGGUGGGCUUGAGCGCCCCCUGCUGGGCACAAACACCGAGAUCCUGACCACCACCGUGCGCUUCGACCUCCACGACCUGGUGUGCCGCGGGACGUUUUUCCACCUGGGAGACGACGUGUCCGACCCCGCCUCCGUGGCGCAGGGCACCGCCUGCGGCCCCGGCAAGGCCUGCUUGGACAACAAGUGUCAGGACGUGUCCGUCUUGGGCGCGGACGAGUGCCGCGGGAAAUGCAACGGCCACGGCGUCUGCAACAGCAACAACAACUGCCACUGCCGACCGGGACGGGCGCCGCCCGACUGCGCGUAUGCCGGCCACGGGGGCAGCGUGGACAGCGGACCCGCACGCGCCGCCGCAGAGUCGGAUCCGGUCCUGGUGGCCCUGCUGGUGCUCUUCCUCUUUAUCGUGCCAGCACUUCUCCUCUUCCUCGCUCUUCGCCUCCCUCGUGUGCGUCGCGCGUGUUUGACUUUGGGAGGCAACAAACUCUUUCCCAAAUCCUCACAUAACCGGACCCCGGCGACGGAGCGCAGUUCAGAGCGCAACGUGGAUCAAGUCCGGCCGCUGAGGUUCCACGUCAACGCCCCCGAGACUCCGCCCCUCAAGGAGCCUCUUGACAGACCAGCUCCUCCCACUAAGCCGCUCCCCCCCGCCCCUCCGCUAAACCCCUCGCCGCAGCGUCCGGCUCCGCCGACAAAGCCUCUUCCACCCGCCCCUCCCACCAGAGGAGUUCAGGUACGACCCAUUGGUUGGACAGGAAGCACGCUGACCAUUGAUCGGUUGUACAGGAAACAUGCUCACCAUCGGCUGGUAGAGCAGGAGAAAACUGACCAUUGAUUGGCUGCAUAAAAACAAUGCCUGACUUUCAUUGUGUGAGGAUAUGUCGCCCUCUCCUGGCAGUAGAGACAAGUGCCCAACACUCAUGAAAUGAGGUCAUAGCAGGAUGCGCUUUGACUGGCCCUAACAAUCUCUCUAUUUUAAUUAUUUAUUUAAUCAGAAUAUUAAAGAUUGUGACAUCCACCAAAAAUUAAUGUUUUAAACAUUCCUCGCUUUCGACUUCCUGCUUGACUUCUUCUAGCCGUUUAGCUAGCAAACUCGUUGCAUGCUAACGUUUAGCUUCAGAUGUCGCAAUGACACAACUUGGCCGGAAGUUAGCGUCCAAUGCUGGCAUUAGGAUGUUUUAUGUCUUCUGUCUUCACUCGUGCUUGUUAGCAUAGUGUGGUGCGCACAGGAUUUAUCUGUCGCUACACAUUUAAUUGGAAACUAUUACUAACUAAAUUGUUAAUCUGGUAAACGCAAAAAUAUAAAAAUGUGUUUAUAAAGUUAGCUGGGCGGCACGGUGGACGACCGGUUAGCACAUCUGCCUCACGGUUCUGAGGACCGCGGUUCAAAUCCCGGCCCCGCCUGUGUGGAGUUUGCAUGUUCUCCCCGCGCCUGCGUGGCUUUUCUCCCGGCACUCCGGUUUCCUCCCACAUCCCAAAAACACGCAUGGUAGGUUGAUGGGAGACCCUAAAUUGCCCAUAGGUUUGAAUGUGUGCGCGAAUGGUUGUUUGUUUCUAUGUGCCCUGCGAUUGGCUGGCGACCAGUUCAGGGUGUACCCCGCCUCUCGCCCGAAGAUAGCUGGGGUAGGCUCCGGCACGCCCGCGACCCUUGUGAGGAUAAAGCGGUACGGAAAAUGGAUGGAUGGAAGUUCGCUGGUCCAACAUCGCAUGUGGCUUUUCUUCUUUGCUUUCGAAUGCGGGCCUCUCCUGUGGCCCUCCACGCAAGGCAGUGAACACUGCUCCCUGCUGCCGCUAGCAAGCCAGCCA